rnacentral:rRNA from 1 species
UACGAAGGGGGCUAGCGUUGUUCGGAAUCACUGGGCGUAAAGGGCGCGUAGGCGGUUGUUCAAGUCGGGGGUGAAAUCCCGUGGCUCAACCACGGAAUGGCCUUCGAUACUGGACGGCUAGAGACCGGAAGAGGUGAGUGGAACUGCGAGUGUAGAGGUGAAAUUCGUAGAUAUUCGCAAGAACACCAGUGGCGAAGGCGGCUCACUGGUCCGGUACUGACGCUGAGGUGCGAAAGCGUGGGGAGCAAACAGG